ACCAAUCUAAAACAAAUCCCCAAAUUGAAAACUCAAUUGCUCCCACUUCUGUAUAAAUCCUCUCUACCCAAACCUCCAUACAAGAACAUUAAAGCAUCAAGAAGAAUAUCAAUUCUCCAGGUUUUAUACUCAAUUUCGUGGCUAAGUCUUCAUUAAGAUACCAUUGAUUUUGGAUUAAGUCUUGAAUGGGUUUCUUGGAGUCUAUUGGUUCAUGCCAUUGAGGUCAUUCUUGUCUUUUCUUGAAGAAACUUGGAUUGUUAUUCCUAAGUUUGUAAGUCCUCAAGUCGGAGGAUGGAGAUGCUUGAUUCUCUUUCUAGUUUCACAUUCCUUACUCAAAGAUUAUAUUUUAAUUCAUAUUAUAAGACUUUUUGUUGAUGUAACGCCUAAUUCCCAAUUCUCAUACUCUUGUGUUUAGAUGGCAAUGUGAGACAAGUUAGAUUUUAUUUUCGAUA